UUGGAGGGCAAGUCUGGUGCCAGCAGCCGCGGUAAUUCCAGCUCCAAUAGCGUAUAUUAAAGUUGUUGCAGUUAAAAAGCUCGUAGUUGAAUUUCGGGGUCAGUAGGUUGGUCGUGCCUAUGGUAUGUACUGGCUUUACUGAUUCCUCCUUCUUGAAGAACUGUAAUGUCAUUAAUUUGGUGUUGCAGGGAAACAGGACUGUUACUUUGAAAAAAUUAGAGUGUUUAAAGCAGGCUAACGCUUGAAUACAUUAGCAUGGAAUAAUGAAAUAGGACGUUCGAUCCUAUUUUGUUGGUUUCUAGGAUUGACGUAAUGAUUAAUAGGGAUAGUUGGGGGCAUUAGUAUUCAAUUGUCAGAGGUGAAAUUCUUGGAUUUAUUGAAGACUAACUACUGCGAAAGCAUUUGCCAAGGAUGUUUUCAUUAAUCAAGAACGAAAGUUAGGGGAUCGAAGACGAUCAGAUACCGUCGUAGUCUUAACCAUAAACUAUGCCGACUAGGGAUCGGAUGAUGUUAAUUGUUUAAUGACUCAUUCGGCGCCUUACGGGAAAC
rnacentral:rRNA from 1 species